rnacentral:rRNA from 1 species
AUUGAACGCUGGCGGCAGGCCUAACACAUGCAAGUCGAGCGGCAGCGGAAAGUAGCUUGCUACUUUGCCGGCGAGCGGCGGACGGGUGAGUAAUGUCUGGGAAACUGCCUGAUGGAGAGGGAUAACUACUGGAAACGGUAGCUAAUACCGCAUAACGUCGCAAGACCAAAGAGGGGGACCUUCGGGCCUCUUGCCAUCAGAUGUGCCCAGAUGGGAUUAACUAGUAGGUGGGGUAACGGCUCACCUAGGCGACGAUCCCUAGCUGGUCUGAGAGGAUGACCAGCCACACUGGAACUGAGACACGGUCCAGACUCCUACGGGAGGCAGCAGUGGGGAAUAUUGCACAAUGGGCGCAAGCCUGAUGCAGCCAUGCCGCGUGUAUGAAGAAGGCCUUCGGGUUGUAAAGUACUUUCAGCGGGGAGGAAGGCGUUGAGGUUAAUAACCUCAGCGAUUGACGUUACCCGCAGAAGAAGCACCGGCUAACUCCGUGCCAGCCGCCGCCGUAA